UACGUAGGGGGCAAGCGUUGUCCGGAUUUAUUGGGCGUAAAGAGCGUGUAGGCGGCCAUGUAGGUCCGUUGUGAAAACUCGAGGCUCAACCUCGAGACGCCGAUGGAAACCAUGUGGCUAGAGUCCGGAAGAGGAGAGUGGAAUUCCUGGUGUAGCGGUGAAAUGCGCAGAUAUCAGGAAGAACACCCGUGGCUAAGGCGGCUCUCUAGUACGGUACUGGCGCUGAGACGCGAAAGCGUGGGGAGCGAACAGG
rnacentral:rRNA from 1 species